AAAUCUCGAACCAAAGUCUCUCGACCCCGUCGGAGCUCGGUUUCGGACGUUGGGAGCGUGCGGGCGGCGACGUCGGCUCUCCUCAAAGGCAUUAGCUGUGGGCGCGAGCCUCGCAUGGCACGGCCGCUUCGACGUCGUAAUGAUCGUCGUGGGCUGGAAGUGCGUGGAUCGACAUGUUCCCCAUGCUUCGCAACCUUCUGUGAGUUCGUCCGUCGUGCGGACGACCGCAGGUAUCAAG
rnacentral:misc_RNA from 1 species